rnacentral:lncRNA from 1 species
UUUUUUUUUUAAAGCUAUUUGGUAAAGUACAAUUUUUGAAAAGAUUUUUUUUUUCUGCCAAGAAUAAAUGGUGAAAGCGGAAUUCAAACUUAAGACCUUACGAUGAACUAUCAAGAUCUUUACUAGCUAAGUUAAUCGGAAUACGAUAUCUUCAGAGAUAUUCGAGCCCAAAGCUAAUUACAUUGCUCUAAUACCAACAAGCUUAUCAAGAGCAAUCGAAAUCCAUUGCUUUAGCAUAUAUGGAGGAG